rfam:Desulfotomaculum sp. 46_80 MPI_scaffold_79, whole genome shotgun sequence.
AAUACGUUAGUUCUCCGAGCCUGAUUACCUGCGGCAAUAGCUAUGGUCUUCAGGCCGCUGGGUAUAUCCGGAAACAGGUAUGCCUCCCGUUAUGGAAAGGGGAAUAUGUGUAAGUUUA